AGUGACCAUCUAGCAAUGAUACCCAAUAUUCAGAUAGGUCGAAAGAUUGUAAAGAAUCAUUCAAGAACUUAUUGGCAUAUGGUUACCGAAUAAUUCAUCUUUUUGAUUCAAAUGCUCAAGAUGACCUAGGGUUUAACUGUCAAUCCUAAUAUGGUCAUCCACAUUAUAUUUUAAUUUUUCAAAUCCAUCAUAUGGAUUACCCCG
rnacentral:lncRNA from 1 species